rnacentral:rRNA from 1 species
UGCCCUUACGGCCAGGGUACACACGUGUACAAUGGUCGGUACAAAGGGUUGCCAAGCCGCGAGGGGGAGCUAAUCCCAUAAAACCGAUCGUAGUCCGGAUCGCAGUCUGCAACUCGACUGCGUGAAGUCGGAAUCGCUAGUAAUCGUGAAUCAGAAUGUCACGGUGAAUACGUUCCCGGGCCUUGUACACACCGCCCGUCACACCAUGGGAGUGGGUUGCUCCAGAAGUAGCUAGUCUAACCGCAGAGAGGGGACGGUACCACGGAGUGAUUCAUGACUGGGGUGAAGUCGUAACAAGGUAGUCCGUAUGGAAAUCCC